rnacentral:rRNA from 1 species
CAGUAGCCGCGGUAAUACGGAGGAUCCAAGGGUUAUCCGGAAUCAUUGGGUUUAAAGGGUCCGUAGGCGGUCUUGUAAGUCAGUGGUGAAAGCCCAUCGCUCAACGGUGGAACGGCCAUUGAUACUGCAGGACUUGAAUUAUUGGGAAGUAACUAGAAUAUGUAGUGUAGCGGUGAAAUGCUUAGAGAUUACAUGGAAUACCAAUUGCGAAGGCAGGUUACUACCAAUUGAUUGACGCUGAUGGACGAAAGCGUGGGUAGCGAACAGGAUUAGAUACCCGCGUAGUCCCUGUCUCUUAUAC